GUGGGGAAUUUUGGACAAUGGGCGCAAGCCUGAUCCAGCAAUGCCGCGUGCAGGAAGAAGGCCUUCGGGUUGUAAACUGCUUUUGUACGGAACGAAACGGUCUGGGUUAAUACCCUGGGCUAAUGACGGUACCGUAAGAAUAAGCACCGGCUAACUACGUGCCAGCAGCCGCGGUAAUACGUAGGGUGCAAGCGUUAAUCGGAAUUACUGGGCGUAAAGCGUGCGCAGGCGGUUUUGUAAGACAGGCGUGAAAUCCCCGGGCUCAACCUGGGAAUUGCGCUUGUGACUGCAAGGCUGGAGUGCGGCAGAGGGGGAUGGAAUUCCGCGUGUAGCAGUGAAAUGCGUAGAUAUGCGGAGGAACACCGAUGGCGAAGGCAAUCCCCUGGGCCUGCACUGACGCUCAUGCACGAAAGCGUGGGGAGCAAACAGGAUUAGAAACCCGGGUAGUCC
rnacentral:rRNA from 1 species